rnacentral:lncRNA from 1 species
CCCAGCCGUGGCCGCCGCAGCCUUUUAAGGUCUCCAAAUGCAAGGAGCUGGGGCCCCAAUGGGAAGGAGAUGUUGUGUCCCCACUGUCCCCAUGUGGCCUGCCUGCCUCAAGGGCAAUCCAAAGAGCCAAAGAGCAGCCAGGAGGAAAUCCUUGGGUGCCAGGAAUGGGUUCUGCCUUGCCAAAUAGAUGGCAGAGACUCUGAUAUGGGAGCCUGGCUGCAUGGCUGUGUGUCCCUCACUGGAGCCCCAGGACAAUAGGGUACAGGGGCAGGGGCACCUCAGUGGGUCACAUAGCCUCAGCACCUCCCUGGUGCAUGGGGUGUGAGCCAGUGAGCAGGAUUCUAGAGCCUCCGGGAAUGCUCUGGGACCUUGGGCAUGGAUGCAGCUGUGGGCCGUGCCCUCCCCAGAGCUGCUGAACCACAGAUGUCUGGGUCACCACAGUGGACCAGGAUUCCAGGAUGCCUUGGGGUCUACCCAGACUUUGGAGAGAUUUACACAGGGGCCAGCAGAUUUUUUGUCACAUCCACCUCAAAGGGUCCUAGAGGAAUGAGAGCUGCAGAACUCUCGGACCUUUCAAACUGCUCCUAGAGGUGGGCAGAUUUAUGUUAUUAAAGUUUCCUUAUAGACAAAUGUCAAAGCCAUCUAAUUCACAUUUUCAUGUUGGAGCCAGUGAGUGUCCUCGAGGACCCAUAUGCUGCACCCUGGGCAGAUGUAUGAAGAAACUGGAGAUGAGAAUGCCUUGGCUAUUUGUCUUCUGUUAUGGUUUAUAUCUAGAUGCCCACCCCCCAAGCCUCAUGUGCUCAGGCAGACCUUUUGGAAGGUGACUGGAUCAGGCAGGGUACUAUACUUGUAGGUGGAUUAAUCCACUGAUGUGUUUAUAGCUAAACGUGCUGUUAGGAGGUGGGGUCUGGUUGGAAUAAAUAAUAAAUGAAUAUGUUCUUUCAUGAGGACAAAUAUCAUUCUGAGGAGCAAUUGUAAUUACAAAUUUACUUUCAGCUAUUCCAUAUAUUGGUACUACCCUGACUGAAUGAAUCUGAGGAAGGUUUUCAGUAGACAAAGCAACCUUAUCAUGAUUCUUUGCUUUCCACUUUAUUUUAUCAUUUAUCAUUGCAGGUUUAACCAUAAUUCACCUUUCAUUCCUUCGCAAAACUGAAUCAAACAAUCCCUCAGGAAUAAACUUGGAUUCAGAUAAAAUUCCAUUCCACCCAUUUUAUUCAUCAAAGAUAUUUUAGGGCUCCUACUAAUAUUUUUUAACUGUACUAAUUCUUGUUUUGUUUUCACCAGAUCUUUUAGAAGACCCAGAGAAUUAUAUUUACCUAGAUAAAUAUAUACCUACAAACCCCCUUAAUACACUCCCGCAUAUUAAACCAGAAUGAUAUUUCUUAUUCACAUAUGCUAUUCUACAUUCAAUUCUUAAUAAACUAGGAGUAUUAACUCUAGUAUUUUCUUUCUUUCUUUUUUUUUUUGGUACCGGGGAUCGAACUCAGGUCCUUGCUCUUGCGCAGCAGGCUGCGAAACCACUGAGCUAAAUCCCCAGCCAACUCUAGUAUUUUCAAUUCUCAUCCUAGCAAUUAUUCCAGCUCUUCACAUAUCAAAACAACAAAGUAUAACAUUCCGACCCUUUAGCCAAUGUUUAUUCUGAAUUUUAGUAGCUAACCUUCUUGUUCUUACUUAUUUGAAUUGGAGGGCAACCAGUUGAAUACCCAUUUAUUAUAAUUGGAUAACUAAUACCAAUUUUAUAUUUCUAUAUCAUUUUAAUCCUUAUACCUCUUACAAGUAUAGAAAACAAAUUACUCAAAUGAAGAGCCCUUGUAGUAUAGUCAUUACUUUGGUCUUGUAAACUGAAAAUGGAGACCCUGUCUCUCCAGGACAAAAUUCAAAGAAGAAGCACAAAGCUCCACCCAAAGCUGAAAUUCUUAUUAAACU